AUGGGCUGGAGAGAUGGCUCAGU
rnacentral:piRNA from 2 species